GGAGUUAGCCGGUGCUUCUUCUGCGAGUAACGUCACAGAUGUAAGGUAUUAACUUACACCCUUUCCUCCUCGCUGAAAGUGCUUUACAACCCGAAGGCCUUCUUCACACACGCGGCAUGGCUGCAUCAGGGUUUCCCCCAUUGCGCAAUAUUCCCCACUGCUGCCUCCCGUAGGAGUCUGGGCCGUGUCUCAGUCCCAGUGUGGCUGAUCAUCCUCUCAGACCAGCUAGGGAUCGUCGCCUAGGUGAGCCUUUACCUCACCUACUAGCUAAUCCCACCUGGGCUUAUCCAUCAGCGCAAGGCCCGAAGGUCCCCUGCUUUCCCCCGUAGGGCGUAUGCGGUAUUAGCAGUCGUUUCCAACUGUUAUCCCCCACAAAUGGGCAAAUUCCCAGGCAUUACUCACCCGUCCGCCGCUCGUCAUCUUCAAAAGCAAGCUUUUGAAAUGUUACCGCUCGACUUGCAUGUGUUAGGCCUGCCGCCAGCGUUCAAUCUGAGCCAUAAUCAAACUCUGA
rnacentral:rRNA from 1 species